GCAUCGGUAGUUCAAUGGCGAAAAUUCUCGCCUGCCACGCGGGCGGCCCUGGUUCGAUUCCCAGCCGAUGCC
rnacentral:tRNA from 1 species